rnacentral:rRNA from 1 species
CAUGCAGUCGAGCGGAUGAGAGGAGCUUGCUCCUGGAUUCAGCGGCGGACGGGUGAGUAAUGCCUAGGAAUCUGCCUGGUAGUGGGGGACAACGUUUCGAAAGGAACGCUAAUACCGCAUACGUCCUACGGGAGAAAGCAGGGGACCUUCGGGCCUUGCGCUAUCAGAUGAGCCUAGGUCGGAUUAGCUAGUUGGUGAGGUAAUGGCUCACCAAGGCGACGAUCCGUAACUGGUCUGAGAGGAUGAUCAGUCACACUGGAACUGAGACACGGUCCAGACUCCUACGGGAGGCAGCAGUGGGGAAUAUUGGACAAUGGGCGAAAGUGUGAUCCAGCCAUGCCGCGUGUGUGAAGAAGGUCUUCGGAUUGUAAAGCACUUUAAGUUGGGAGGAAGGGCASUAAAUUAAUACUUUGCUGUUUUGACKUUACCGACAGAAUAAGCACCGGCUAACUCUGUGCCAGCAGCCGCGGUAAUACAGAGGGUGCAAGCGUUAAUCGGUAUUACUGGGCGUAAAGCGCGCGUAGGUGGUUCG